rnacentral:rRNA from 1 species
UACGUAGGGACCAAGCGUUGUCCGGAAUCAUUGGGCGUAAAGAGCGUGUAGGCGGCUUGUUAAGUCUUGCGUGAAAUCUCGGGGCUCAACCCCGAGCGGUCGUGAGAAACUGGCAGGCUAGAGUCCGGAAGAGGCGAGUGGAAUUCCUGGUGUAGCGGUGAAAUGCGCAGAUAUCAGGAGGAACACCGGUGGCGAAGGCGGCCCUCUGGACGGUGACUGACGCUGAGACGCGAAAGCGUGGGGAGCAAACAGG